rnacentral:lncRNA from 1 species
UAAGAGAAGUACUGAAGUUCGGAAUGAUCUGUUCCAUAGGAUUGUCUGAAGAGUAUGAAGCUGUUUAUGAAGAACUUGAUCAUAGAGUGCAUCUAGAUCAAUAUCAGGAGUCACAUCUGUCAGAAAUACAGUAUGAUGAGCCAGUAUCUCACUGUGAAAUAAUGGACAUUGUCUCUGAGAAAUCUGAAUCAGGACCAGACACAGAUGGAUUAUUAGACACAGAUGAUCAUCAAGAAGACACAUAUGAUGAUGUAGCUUCUAUACAGCUUGAAGCUGGAUAUGAUGAUGUUGGUUGUGACUCCAGAGAGAAAGAUUCAGAUUAUGAUGAUGUUGAAGAACAUGACCAUGUCAGUGAAGAAGGGGACAGUGGUGAGUGAACCUUGUUUUUGAAC